CGGGGUCAGGGGGGUGGAGAUCUGAGGGGAGGGGGAGCAGGAGGAGGAGGAGGAGGAGGUGAUGGAGGAGGACAGAUGGAAACAGCAGAGUUAAAAACCUGAAGAACAAACAUGGAGUGCUUUCUUAAAUCAGACACACCAUUUGGAGUUUCUUCUUCUCCUCCUCGCCACCUCCUCCUCCUCACCUCCUCCUCCUCCCUCUCUCUGUCCUCCAUCUCUGAGUCACU